rnacentral:rRNA from 1 species
GGGUUGUGAGGUUAAGCGACUAAGCGUACACGGUGGAUGCCCUGGCAGUCAGAGGCGAUGAAGGGCGUGCUUAUCGCAGAUUAGCA